UUUUUUUUAUAUUUGUAAUUUUCCAUAUCACCCUUCCAAGAAUGGAAGAGGUGUAAAUUUGAUCUCUUAAUAUAAUGAAUGCAUAUAAUUAAAUAAUUGAGGCCAAUCAAAGUAAACCUUUGAAUGGUUUCUUUCCAGACAGAGAGAGAGAGAGACAUCUGAUAUUCUGAAGCCCCAGACCAAAGUCAAAAAACAAACCUCUAUUCAACAAUGUCUGAUGUCAGCUAAUGUUACUAUUUUGCCAUAUCCUCCUUGAGCUGACACCUCACAAGUUUAGACAGAAAUGGCAGAACAAAAACUAAACCAAAAAACAAAUGGCAUCUUUUUAAAUGUUGAUUCAAUGAUAAUUUAAUGUAAUCUAAAAUGUCCCCUGUAGUUUUCUCCAUAAUUUCUGUCAAGCACUUUGACCAGUUGGAUAGCUCAGCGCCUAGUUGCUAGUCUGUCAACAAUACAUCUAAAUGGUACUGCGAUGUCAACUGCAGCUCUCAGCUGUGGGGAGAUCAGCAGAACAUCACUAUGUGACAACAUUUCCCACAUUGACUCUGCGCGGGCACGUGUGUGUGUGUGUGUGUGUGUGUGUGUGUGUGUGUGUGUGUGUGUGUGUGUGUGUGUGUGUGUGUGUGUGUGUGUGUGUGUGUGAGUGUGUGUGUGUGUGUGUGUGUGUGUGUGUGUGUGUGUGUGUGUGUGAAUGAAUGAGGAAAACUUAGCCACUCAAUCUCCUCUUCUUUCCACCUAGUUCUGUGUCAAACCUUGAACUGUCUGAAACAGUGUAUUUAUAAUCUUUCAUCUGUAAAUAGAAUAAUAUUUAUAAAAUGUACAUUUGGUAUCAUUUAUAUGCACUACCAUUACUUGUCAAAACAAGUCAAACAUUUGUUCAACUGUAUAAUCCUCAAGAUUUACACGGAACAUUCUUAAACAGCCUUUCAGAUUCACAAUUCACAAUGGUGACAUUGUGAAUUGUUAAACUGAUUGCCAAGAAAUGUCAAUUGCCAACUUGAAUUUCUCAAUAAAUUGUUUUGAGGAAAUACUCUCAAACUAAACAAUUCCAGGAUUUUAAAUUCAAAUGGUUGGUUAGGAUCUGGAAAUCCCCAAUUCUAUAGUAGUCUAUAGUAAUGUACAGUAGUCUACAGUAGUCUAUAGUAAUGUACAGUAGUCUAUAGUAGUCUACAGUAGUCUAUAGUAAUGUACAGUAGUCUAUAGUAGUCUAUAGUAAUGUACAGUAGUCUACAGUAGUCUAUAGUAAUGUACAGUAGUCUAUAGUAGUCUACAGUAGUCUAUAGUAAUGUACAGUAGUCUACAGUAGUCUAUAGUAAUGUACAGUAGUCUACAGUAGUCUACAGUAGUCUAUAGUAAUGUACAGUAGUCUAUAGUAGUCUACAGUAGUCUAUAGUAAUGUACAGUAGUCUAUAGUAAUGUACAGUAGUCUACAGUAGUCUAUAGUAAUGUACAGUAGUCUACAGUAGCCUAUAGUAAUGUAUAGUAGUCUACAGUAGUCUAUAGUAAUGUACAGUAGUCUACAAUAGUCUAUAGUAGUGUACAGUAGUCUAUAGUAGUGUACAGUAGUCUAUAGUAGUCUAUGGUAGUGUACAGUAGUCUAUAGUAGUCUAUGGUAGUGCACAGUAGUCUACAGUAGUCUAUAGUAGUCUACAGUAGUGUGCAGUAGUCUAUAGUAGUAUACAGUAGUCUAUAGUAGUCUACAGUAAGUUACAGUAGUCUAUAGUAGUCUACAGUAAGGUACAGUAGUCUACAGUAGUGUACAGUAGUCUACAGUCAUCUGCAGUGGUCUAAAGUAGUUUUCAGUACUCUACAGUAGUGUACAGUAGUCUAUAGUAGUGUACAGUAGUCUAUAGUAGUGUACAGUAGUCUAUAGUAGUGUCCAGUAGUCUAUAGUAGUCUACAGUAGUCUACAGUAGUCUACAGUAGUCUAUAGUAGUCUACAGUAGUCUAUAGUAGUCUACAGUAGUCUAUAGUAGUCUACAGUAGUCUAUAGUAGUCUACAGUCGUCUAUAGUAGUCUACAGUAGUCUAUAGUAGUGUACAGUAGUCUACAGUCGUCUAUAGUAGUCUACAGUAGUCUAUAGUAGUGUACAGUAGUCUACAGUAGUCUAUAGUAGUGUACAGUAGUCUAUAGUAGUCUACAGUCGUCUAUAGUAGUCUACAGUAGUCUAUAGUAGUGUACAGUAGUCUAUAGUAGUCUACAGUAGUCUAUAGUAGUCUACAGUAGUCUAUAGUAGUGUACAGUAGUCUAUAUAGUCUACAGUCAUCUAUAGUAGUCUACAGUAGUCUAUAGUAGUCUAUAGUAGUCUACAGUUGUCUAUAGUAGUCUAUAGUAGUGUACAGUAGUCUAUAGUAGUCUAUAGUAGUCUACAGUAGUCUAUAGUAGUCUUCAGUAGUCUACAGUCGUCUUCAGUAGUCUACAGUCGUCUAUAGUAGUCUACAGUAGUCUAUAGUAGUCUUCAGUAGUCUACAGUCGUCUUCAGUAGUCUACAGUCGUCUUCAGUAGUCUACAGUCGUCUAUAGUAGUCUACAGUAGUCUAUAGUAGUGUACAGUAGUCUACAGUAGUCAAACACACAACAUCUCUUGGGCGGUGCUUGGCAGAAACGUAAUUCCUUGGUUUCACUUGUUUUCCUGUUGUUAUCUGGAGCCAUAUGAAGGCUGCAUUGUUCCUAUGUUCCUAUAUUAUGUACGGUGACGGGUCAUUGUACAGCUUUAUGUUUAUUGAAAUAUUACAUUGUUUAAGAUGUACUUAUAUUUCCCAUGUAUUUCUCAAAAGUCUCACACAAUGUAUGGUAAGGUAUUGUAUAUUGUGAUCAACAAAUAUUUUGUAUGAAAUGAUUAAAAUGAGCAUGAAUUUGUCUUUUUUUGUGUCUUAACUUUCUGUAAUUGUAGGAUGUAAGUCAACUUUAGUUUUGAAGGAACA
ensembl:lncRNA